rnacentral:precursor_RNA from 1 species
ACAUCCGGAAGAAUUCCUAUUAGAAUCUUAGUUAUUAAAUAUUAUUUCUUAUCUAGUCAAAGUCGAUAUGAAUUCAAUAUAGAAAAAAAUAGAAUUUCAAAUCAAUAUUGAAUAUUAUAGAACACAACGAUUAAUAGAGCGAUAUAGAAUUUCUAUUUAUUUAUCACUAAUACAAUUCGAAUAUUAUUAAAUUUGAUAUAUCUUUUAUUAUUUUUGAGUUUUAGAUAAUUAACCUUUUGUUUUGGAAUUCAAAUGACUUUUGAACUUCUUUUUAUUGUAUUAUUUUAUUUAAUUCUAUAUCUUUUUUUCGAAUUACGAAUGGUUGGUUAUUAACUAAUGAGCCAUUACCCACCUUCAGUCAUAAAGAGGUAAGUAGGAAAGGCGGAAAUUAAGACGACAAAAAGAGAAUCGACCCUUCAAGUAUUCCAAAUUACAUCGAAAAUGUGGCAGGUAGAUAUCUAGGAUAUAUAUCCAUCUAUAUUGAAUUACAGAUACAGAAAUGGUACAAUCAUAGUCGAUUGGACCAAAUCCAAAUAUGGUUCUCCUAUAGUCCUAUAGAAAAUAGGUAAGAAGGGGGUAGGUAAGAGAUAAAAGAAAACACUUUUUCGAGAUAGGAAUCCGGUAUCUAAUGAAUUCAACGAUUUCAGUAUAAAUGACAGAAAAAAAGAAACGACAUCACAAUGAAAUUCGAAUCUCACGCAAAAUGAGGGGGGAUAUGGCGAAAUUGGUAGACGCUACGGACUAAUUAGAUGGGCUUGCUAUGGAAACCUACGAGUGAGACUUCCA